CCUACGGGAUGCAGCAGUGGGGAAUAUUGGACAAUGGGCGAAAGCCUGAUCCAGCAAUGCCGCGUGAGUGAUGAAGGCCUUAGGGUUGUAAAGCUCUUUUACUAGGGAUGAUAAUGACAGUACCUAGAGAAUAAGCUCCGGCUAACUCCGUGCCAGCAGCCGCGGUAAUACGGAGGGAGCUAGCGUUGUUCGGAAUUACUGGGCGUAAAGCGCGCGUAGGCGGCUUUUCAAGUCAGAGGUGAAAUCCCAGGGCUCAACCCUGGAACUGCCUUUGAAACUGGAUGGCUAGAAUACUGGAGAGGUGAGUGGAAUUCCGAGUGUAGAGGUGAAAUUCGUAGAUAUUCGGAAGAACACCAGUGGCGAAGGCGACUCACUGGACAGUUAUUGACGCUGAGGUGCGAAAGCGUGGGGAGCAAACAGGAUUAGAUACCCGAGUAGUC
rnacentral:rRNA from 1 species